rnacentral:sRNA from 1 species
AAAAAAAAGCAUGUGGGCUCUUCCCUGUUCUGACUUCAACGUGGAACACCCUUCAGUGUGUUUGAACACUUAACAGCACUAACACAAAUCCAGCAGGCUUGGUUUACUGGAAGCAUCAAGAGGGGCACUCAGGAGUAAACAAUACUGGCUGGGGCUGAGUUCUCUGUCCCAAGCUGGCUUGCCUGCUGCUAGGGGCUGGGAGUGCUUGUCUCUCUCUCUCUCCUCUGUCAGAUCUUCCCACAGGCUGAGACUCGACCUCUACACCCAAACACACGCGCAUAGACACACACAGACAGACAGACAAACACACAGAUGCACACACAGACAUAGUUCCCCCCUCCGUCCCCCCCCCCACCUGCUCCCUGACUUCCCACAGCUCUGUGCUACCUGUUGUCUUUACAAACAGGUGACAAGCAGGGCUGAGCUGAACAGUUUGUUACUGUGGCUGAGCCUUUGCCUCCCUUAGGGCAACGCUGCUUGUGAAGAACUUGUUACUUAAGUAACGGAAUCUGUGCUCCGACUUUAGGAGUUCUGUUGGCCCUGAGAGGAAAGGCAGGGCCAACAGGAAGUGGGUAUCCUUUGUCCUUUAGACACAGAGAUUGAAAGAGAAGAUGGUUACAGUCCGCACUCCACUCGGGAGGGAAGUCAGACUUCUCUUGUGAGUUCAAAGGCGUCCCUGAGAAGAGCUGGAGUGGCCUUUAAAGUGAAAAGCUUAGGUGAUUUAAAUGAGCAAGCCUUCACAGACUCGGAGAAGGUAAGCAACAGGUGUGGCCAGCACCGUGAAGAAGCGACGACCAGAGAGGGCAAACGGUGUCUGACGAUGUCAUCUGUCUGAAAAAUCGCGUGUAGCUGCAGGGUCCAGGUCUCGAACUCAGAUCACUGGGCUUAGCGGCAAGCUCUUUGGUGCCAUAUCAUAGCCCCUCAUCAACUUUCCAUGAGGUAUCACUGACUACAUGAACCUGUACGGCCUGAAUCUUGUUGGUGGGAACAAGAAGACAUGGGAAGGACGCCCUGGUUUGCCUUCCUGUUACUACAAUAAACAUCUUGACCAGAAGAAGUAACUUGGGGACGAAAGGAUACAUUUGGUUUACACAUUUCCGUCAGAGACCAUCGCUGAGGAAAGUCAAGGCAGGAACCACAGGGAAGGCUGCUCACUGAUGUGUUCUUUUGGCAUCUGUUCUCUGGUAGCUUUCUCAUACAGCCCAUGACUACCUGUCCAGGGAUGGCUCUGUCCACGGUGGCCUGGCCCCAACCAUAUCAGUCACCAGUCAAGACAAUGCCUUACAGACACAGGCACAGGCAAUCCCCCCAUCGGGCUUCCUCACUGACUUUGAGCUGUGCCAAGCUCACAGGGGAAGCAAAGCAGGACUGGGGCCUGGGAGGAUGGCACGACUGUCAGAAUACUUGCUGUUUCUGUGUGGAAACCUUAGCUCCAGUGCCCAGCAUACCCCAGAAAAGCUUCCUUGCUGCAAACCUAGCUCGGGAGAGCCUGUGUCAAGGGAAUCCAGGUUCAGUGGGAGACCCUGUCUCAGGGA